UUGUCCUGUGUGUCCAAUUGAAGGAACUGCAUUCGCAGAGCUUCGAUUCCCAGCGGUGCUUGAUUCUGCUGCUUUUGAAGGAAAGCGUGUUGUGUACCAUGUCCAGAUGUUC
rnacentral:ribozyme from 1 species